rnacentral:rRNA from 1 species
CCUACGGGAGGCUGCAGUGAGGAAUAUUGGUCAAUGGACGAGAGUCUGAACCAGCCAAGUAGCGUGAAGGAUGACUGCCCUAUGGGUUGUAAACUUCUUUUAUAAAGGAAUAAAACGAGGCACGUGUGCCUUUUUGCAUGUACUUUAUGAAUAAGGAUCGGCUAACUCCGUGCCAGCAGCCGCGGUAAUACGGAGGAUCCGAGCGUUAUCCGGAUUUAUUGGGUUUAAAGGGAGCGUAGACGGGUUGUUAAGUCAGUUGUGAAAGUUUGCGGCACAACCGUAAAAUUGAAAUUGGUACUGGCGGUGUUGAGUGCAGUGGAGGAAGGCGGAAUUCGGGGUGUAGCGGUGAAAUGCUUAGAGAUCACGAAGAACCCCGAUUGCGAAGGCAGCUUACAAAACUGUUACUGACAUUGAUGCUCGAAAGUGUGGGUAGCAAACAGGAUUAGAUACCCGGGUAGUC